rnacentral:rRNA from 1 species
CACUCGUUAAUUUUGNCUUGAAAACUCAGCUUAUAGACCGCCGUCANAACUAUUUUUACAAAAAUNACUUUACAUAUGACGUACAAUUAAGUGUCAGGUCAAGGUAUAGCCUAUAUUCAAGUUCAAAUAAGUUACUAUAAACACAAUUUAUAGAAUUAAGUAAAAACAACAUAAAAAAGGAUUUAACAACAAUAUAUUAAUAAUAAUUAAAUAUGAAAUUGUUUUAAC